ACGUAGGAUGCAAGCGUUGUCCGGAUUCAUUGGGCGUAAAGAGUUCGUAGGCGGUUUGUUAAGUCUGAUGUUAAAGACCGGGGCUCAACCUCGGAAAUGCAUUGGAUACUGGCAGACUGGAGUGCAGUAGAGGCUAGUGGAAUUCCCAGUGUAGCGGUGAAAUGCGUAGAUAUUGGGAAGAACACCGGUGGCGUAGGCGACUAGCUGGGUUGUAACUGACGCUGAGGAACGAAAGCCAGGGGAGCAAAUGG
rnacentral:rRNA from 1 species